AGCGAACGCUGGCGGCAGGCUUAACACAUGCAAGUCGAGCGGGCAUCCUUGUGGUGUCAGCGGCAGACGGGUGAGUAACGCGUGGGAACGUGCCCUUCGGUUCGGAAUAACUCAGGGAAACUUGAGCUAAUACCGGAUACGUGCGAGAGCAGAAAGGUUUAUCUGCCGAAGGAUCGGCCCGCGUCUGAUUAGCUAGUUGGUGAGGUUAUGGCUCACCAAGGCGACGAUCAGUAGCUGGUCGGAGAGGAUGAUCAGCCACACUGGGACUGAGACACGGCCCAGACUCCUACGGGAGGCAGCAGUGGGGAAUAUUGGACAAUGGGGGCAACCCUGAUCCAGCCAUGCCGCGUGAGUGAUGACGGCCUUAGGGUUGUAAAGCUCUUUUCUUCGGGACGAUAAUGACGGUACCGGAGGAAUAAGCCCCGGCUAACUUCGUG
rnacentral:rRNA from 1 species